UAAUACGUAGGGGGCAAGCGUUGUCCGGAAUCACUGGGCGUAAAGAGUACGUAGGCGGUUUGUUAAGUUAGAUGUGAAAGUUUGCAGCUCAACUGUAAAAGUGCAUUUAAAACUGGCAGACUUGAGUCUCGGAGAGGUAAGCGGAAUUCCUAGUGUAGCGGUGAAAUGCGUAGAGAUUAGGAAGAACACCGGUGGCGAAGGCGGCUUACUGGACGAGUACUGACGCUCAGGUACGAAAGCGUGGGGAGCAAACAGG
rnacentral:rRNA from 1 species